rnacentral:ncRNA from 1 species
UUAAAGUUUGAUUCUGGCUUUAGGAUUUAUUUUAUAAAUUUUGUACAUGUAUUUUGGCAGUAUUAAGUAUUAUAAAAUAUUGAUAUAAAAAUUUGAUGAAUUUCGGUUCCCAUUGUGCCAGCAUCCGCGGUUACACACUGGAUGUAAAUAAAUUUAUUUGGUUAAAUUUAAUUCCGGUUACUUAAAAUUAAUGAAAUUAGGUGAAAUUAAUAAUUUUAAUUUGCAGUGUGGGUGUUUUCAUUAAAAUAAGGUUGUUUGAAACCUGAAUUAGAUACUCAGCUAUAUUCUUUUUUAUUAUUCCUAAGUAGUAUUUAAAUUAAACUUAAAGGAUUUGGCGGUGGUUUAUCUUUUUAGAGGAACCUGUUAUAUAAAAGAUACUACACUUUGUUAGACUUUUAAUUUUCUUGUAUAUCGUUGUUUAAAGAAUUAAUUUUUAAAAGUUUUUUCUAGCUAUUCAUUUAAUAUAAAAUCAAAUCAAGGUGUAGAAUUUAAAAGAUUAAAUGGGUUACAUUAAUUUAAAUUAUUUAUGAAUUAAUAGAYUGUUCAAAUUAAUGGAUUUAAAAGUAAUUUUAUUAAACAAAUUAAACUGAAAGGAGUUCUAAAACAUGUACAUAUCGCCCGUCGCUCUAAUUUUAAAAUUAGAUAAGUCGUAACAAAGUAGUUUUUCCGGAAGGAAAAACUUGCUCGUA